GAAAAUGCAAAAGGAUUUUGUGCUGACGUCGUUUUUUUAAGUGGCGAUGCACCCAAUAAAGCAUUUGAUUUAACGAUCACCCAAGGCGAAAAACGUUUGCAACAUUAUGCCCUGAAUGCUAGCAGUGAAAUAAAAAACAAAUGGGUCACGAGGAGGUUUGAAAACAAUACGUUGACACUGGUUGGCAAAUGGAAACUGAAGUUGACAGCAGGCCCAGGCAGAAUCAGAAUUGGCGGAAUCAAAUUCUGUGCAGGAGGCGAUUCAAUGGUGAAACCAAAAGGGAAGAACAUGGAAAGCUGUCAUUUGUUGGCGGAGAGUGAACAAAAUUUGACCACGAAGGAAAGAUUGUUAGAAGUCGCCAACAAUUCGGCCGUGUGUCAUGCGCUUGGAGAGAAUUGUUCCACAUUAAAAGCGUGCCGAGAAAACGGAGAGUGCGUUAACUUCACUGACUCAACCAGUAAGGAAAGCGAUAGUAAAAAAACAACGAGUACAACACAACCCUCACCACCACCAUCAGAAACAACUAUCACAACUCAAGCAACAUCAACGACAAUAAAAACGACUACAUCAACAACAAAACUGCAAACUACAACAGCAACAACAAGAAAGAACACGAAACAACCACCAAGAACAACGAGAAAAAUUACAAUACCAACAUCAACGACAGCAAAAACAACCACACCAACAACAAUGCCAAAAAGUAAAGCAACGACGAGGGUAUCAACAAUGACAAGAACGACCAAAUCGACAACAAUGCUGACAUCAACUAUCACUACUACCACAGCAAGUAGCAAAACCGAGGGUUCCCAGGAAACAACACCCACUUUUCAAGAGCCAAUAAGUAACGACUCAAACUCAAAUUCAAGCAGUAAUAUAUCCUGCGAUGAAGCCAAUAAAAAGAUCCGCGACAUGGUUAUACUGACCACCAGCUGGAACAUCGGAAGCUUCACCUUCCUCGCGUUCCAGCUUUUCUACUACAGAUAUCUUAGACGGCUUGAUGACUCGAUCCAUUUGAACCGACGCAGGUUAAAAUUGCCGACGCCCUCUCCACAGGAAGAGCACACCGAGGCCGAAACCUACUUUUCGAGAUAUGCCACUCCCUGACCUCUGGGUUCGAAAAUUUAUUUUUCAUAUUAUAAUUCAUUGAAUACCAAUAUUAUGUCCAUCCAUUAUACAGUUAUUGCUUAUCAGUAUCCAGCUUAGAUCAAAUUAAAUAACAUACGAAUGCAUUAUUUUAAUCUAUAUGAACAUACUAUAUGAAUACAUACAAUAAAAUUAUUUAAUGAUAAGUUGAGCGAGACUUCAGAUUUAAAGUGGAGUUUCUAAACCUGUUUAGCUAUUAUAAAUUUUAUAAAACAAUACUUACGUGUACAUUAUUUAUGGCUUGGAGAAUAAAAAUGUCACAAGAUAGGGACAUUGCUUG